GAUGAAGAACGUAGCGAAAUGCGAUAAGUAAUGUGAAUUGCAGAAUUCAGUGAAUCAUCGAAUCUUUGAUCGCACAUUGCGCCCGCCAGUAUUCUGGCGGGCAUGCCUGUUCGAGCGUCAUUUCAACCAUCAAGCCCCCGGCUUGUGUUGGGGACCUGCGGCUGCCGCAGGCCCUGAAAACCAGUGGCGGGCUCGCUAGUCACUCCGAGCGUAGUAAUACAUCUCGCUCAGGGCGUGCUGCGGGUUCCGGCCGUUAAAAAGCCUUAUUUACCCAAGGUUGACCUCGGAUCAGGUAGGAAGACCCGCUGAACUUAAGCAUAUCAAUAAGCGGAGGA
rnacentral:misc_RNA from 1 species